rnacentral:rRNA from 1 species
GGGCCCGCACAAGCGGUGGAGCAUGUGGUUUAAUUCGAUGAUACGCGAGGAACCUUACCAGGGCUUAAAUGUAGUCUGACAGGGGUGGAAACACCUCCUCCUUCGGGCAGAUUACAAGGUGCUGCAUGGUUGUCGUCAGCUCGUGCCGUGAGGUGUCAGGUUAAGUCCUAUAACGAGCGCAACCCCUGCCGUUAGUUGCCAGCAUGUAAUGAUGGGAACUCUAACGGGACUGCCGGUGCAAACCGCGAGGAAGGUGGGGAUGACGUCAAAUCAUCACGGCCCUUACGUCCUGGGCUACACACGUGCUACAAUGGCCGGUACAGAGGGCAGCCACACCGCAAGGUGGAGCGAAUCCUUAAAACCGGUCUCAGUUCAGAUCGUAGGCUGCAACUCGCCUACGUGAAGGCGGAAUCGCUAGUAAUCGCAGGU